UACGUAGGGUGCGAGCGUUGUCCGGAAUUACUGGGCGUAAAGAGCUCGUAGGCGGUUUGUCGCGUUGUUCGUGAAAACUCACAACUCAAUUGUGGGCGUGCGGGCGAUACGGGCAGACUGGAGUACUGCAGGGGAGACUGGAAUUCCUGGUGUAGCGGUGGAAUGCGCAGAUAUCAGGAGGAACACCGGUGGCGAAGGCGGGUCUCUGGGCCGAUACUGACGCUGAGGAGCGAAAGCGUGGGGAGCGAACAGG
rnacentral:rRNA from 1 species